rnacentral:ncRNA from 1 species
GGGAGCACACGCGGGAGUCCGGGGGUACGCCGGGCUGAGAGUGCGACGCGCCGUCGCUGACCGCCACACCUGAUCCGGAUCAUGCCGGCGAAGGGAGGGCGAAUGAAGAGUCU